GCCGGGAAGAGUGGGCACCUUGGAAUCUGCAAGGCAUUCUUUUGCGUUUCACCUGCAGUGGGGUGGGGUCUCUGGGGUCUGCCCUCCCUCCUACUCUACAUGCAUUACCCAUCUUAUAGCCGGGCCGUCCCUGCAAAAUUCCAGCUGCAUGGGGGAACCACACUUCUGACUUCAGAAUGAAACCAGUGUUUUGCACACAUUCAUUCCUCAGUCCCCUUGCUGGGACCCUUCUCUGUUAUGAAAGCAGAGAUCCCACCCGAAUAGGGUGACUUUGGGGCGAUGGAUUACCUUUGGCAGGUCCUGUGGGUCAGGAAUUUAGGGGUGCAGCGUGGGCCCACAGCAUACCCAGUAGCCAAGGAAGACCCUCCCCUACCCGAGGCUCAAGCAGGCGCCAGGCCCCAAACCCUCACUCCUCUCUGGUCUAAAUCCCCGCCGUAGGAUUUUAUUUUUCGGUGCUGAGGUGCUUUGCUGGAGGAGCUGCCAGGGGGAGCUGCGCGGGGCAGGCCCGGGGUACCAGAGGCCCUUGCUUUAGCGGCGGCCCUGCGUGUGCCAGAGGCUUGCAGAGUGAUCUGAGCACGCCAAGAGAUUGCUGUCAAUGAAAGCACCAGAUUUCCGCGUAGGAGGGACUCGGGGGCAACGAUGCAAUUGGAAGAACUGCACCGAAAAUGACGAUGUCUUCUCAUGCAUAUGAAUUAUCCAAAGUGUAGGAAGAUGCGCCCCCACUGGAGUACGCUGAAGCCUUUAACCCAAGUACAUUUAAUGCUGCGAAGCCCCGAGUGAGGCAAAGGUGUCUUUUUAUUUUAGAAGACAUUUAGGACAGUUCAUGUCACUCUGCACAGAUGCACUGAAAUUGAUUGUGGGGCAAACUAUAAAGAGAGCUUAUGCUCCCCAAAUCUGUUUCCGAGCCAGGUAGGAUGAUGAAUUCUGAGGUGGGACUGAGGGGGAACGGUGGCAGCUCUCUCCCCUGCACGCACCGGCCAACUACUUCCCCGUUUGGACAUUGGCGUGACACCCUCCUUCCCUGUUCAUCUGUGAAAAUGUGCAGCGUUUUCAUUUAAAACCUCCUGCUCCAACAUGGGGCCUUCUGCAGACCGCAGGGACCCCCAACAAUUACUUGUUGGAAGAACAAAUGAAGCAUAAAGCAUGAUACUUUAUUUUAAACAUACAGGUGGCACAAAUUUAUUUCCAAAGAUUUAAGCACCUGAUGACUUCUCCUUAGAGAAAAAGCAAUAAAAGGAGCCUCUUCUGUCACAAAUUUCCACUUAGCAUGGUUUGUGCAGAGGCAGAAUUUCAGGCUUUUACCACUGAGCUCUGGACAUGAAGCAAAGCUAACACUAGAGGGUGCUAUAGAUUAGGAAAUCCAGGGACCAUGGGCGCCGGAGCGCGUUCAAGACGCUGCCCUCCCGAUUGUAACCUAACAAACUGAGCGUGUCACUUUGCCAGAAUUUACCCCUUCACCAUUUCUGCUAUGAUGAAAUUAUCCAGAUAUGUUUAAUUUGAAAUUUUAACUUAGUCUGUGAUUAUGUGGAAUUUCAACACUGGCUGUGGCCCAGUGCAGUGGCUCACUCACACCUGUAAUCCCAGUGCUUUGGGAGGCCAAGUCUGGUGGAUAAUUUGUGGUCAGGAGUUCGAAACCAGCCUGGCCAACAUGGUGAAACCCUGUCUCUCCUAAAAAUACAGAAAUUAGCCUGGUGCCUGUAAUCCCAGCUACUCGGGAGGCUGAGGCAGGAGAAUUGCUUGAACCCUCAGGAGGCAGAGGUUGCAGUGAGCCGAGAUCACGCCACUGCACUCCAGUCCUGUCUAAAAAAAAAAAAAAAAAAAAAAAGGACUGAGCCCAGGUCUGUAGGAUAGACACUUUGUGUUUGUAUCUUAAGUACUUUGCGAUCUCACCCUUACAAACCUGAUACUAAAUUCCACUUACCUACUUCAGUCCUUCUCUGAGGGAAGGUGGAGUUUGGAGGCAAUUUUAGGAAGCAGGAUGAGGAAACAGGGAAGGUGACACAGUGAAGGACAAGCCAACACAAGGGUGGAUUACCAAGGCUGGUCCCCUCUACAGGCACCCAGGGCUCGGUCCCACGCGGACUGCUGAGUAGACAGAAGACCUUUCAGAAUCUUCUGCCUCUCCCCCAUUUGCUGAGAGUUCCCUGGGAACGGUAACCCCCGUACCUUCGGGCUGAACAUAUGUUUGCAUGCUGAAUGGGCUCUUUCUGCCAUCCCAUGCCACAGCAUUCAGGAAGCCCUGGGGCCAAAGCAAACAGCAUGCUUGAGGCAAGGUGCUGUGAGGCCCAAAUGAGCUGAAGCUUGCACAAAACUGCUCACCACUGCCAUAGCUGAAUCAGCGGAGGCCAGGAGGAUGCGAGGCGGUGCCCGUGAUUGUCUGAUCAUCUCCCUCUUGGACCGCUGAGACUCAGGCAUGCCCUGCAUCAAAUCCAACCUGUCACCAGGUCUUCAAGGGGGAGGCCUGCGGAAAUCCUACUGUGAAUGAAACUACAGUUGCUAUUCAUCGUCUCCCUCCUGCACCUACCACUCCAGAUGUCCCUCACUCUUGGCCAGCACUUUGGCUUGUUUAAGUUGUGUGCCAGGUGAGGUGACCACACCUUCCCCCCUGCAGUUUCUGAGUCUUUCCUGAGCUUUGUCUUGGUUGGCCCUUGGCUGCUGUGACUGCCUAUUUUAUCUAAUUGCAGGUUCAAGAUUCACCAAGAAGGCAGGGCGCAGUGGCUCACAUCUGUAAUCCCAGCACUUUGGGAGGCUGAAGCAGGCAGAUCACUUCAGCCCAGGAGUUUGAGACCAGCCUGGGCAACAGAGCAAGACCCCAUCUCUAAAGAAAAAUAAUUAUUCAGGUGUGGUGGCACAUGCCUGUAGUCCCAGCUACUCAGGAGGCGGAGGUGGGAGGAUCGCUUGAGCCCAGGAGGUUGAGGCUGCAGUGAGCCGUGAUUGCACCAUUGCACUCUAGCUGGGCAACAGAGCAAAACCCUGUCUCCAAAAAUAAUAAGUAAAUAAAUAAAUAAGAUACUAAGAGACAGCCCAGUGACUCUCCUGAGUCCCAAACAUACUCAUCCAUCCCUCAUGGAGAAACAACUCUAUCUCCUUGCAAUAAUCAGAACUAGUUUCUCCUGCCAGUUUAAUCAGUACUUUUUUUAUUGCAGUAAAAUACACACAACAUAAAAUGUGCCACUUUAACCAUUUUAUUAUUAUUAUUAUUAUUAUUAUUAUUAUUAAGACGGAGUUUCACUCUUGUUGCCCAUGCUGGAGUGCAGGGGCGCGAUCUUGGCUCACUGCAACUUCCACUUUCUGGGUUCAAGCGAUUCUCUUGCCUCAGCCUCCGGAGUAGCUGAGAUUACAGGCACACGCAGCCAUGCCCAGCUAAUUUUUGUAUUUUUAGUAGAGACGGGGUUUCACCAUAUUGGUCAGGCUGGUCUCAAACUCCUGACCUCAGGUGAUCCACCCACCCCUUGGCCUCCCAAAGUGCUGGGAUUACAGGCGUGAACCACCAUGCCCAGCCCAUUUUAACCAUUUUUAAAUGUUCAUUCAGUGGCCUGAGUUAUAUGAACAUUGCUGGACAACCAUUGCUACUAUGUAUUUCCAAAACUUUUUAAUUGCCUUAAACAGAAGCCUUGUAACCAUUAAGCAACACCUCCCCAUCCCCUCUCCCCUCAGCCCCUAGUAAUCACUAGCCUACUUUCUCUGCUACUUUGUCUCUUGUAGAUGUUUCAAACAAGUAGAAUGAUAUGAUACUUGUCCUUUUGAAACUGACUUAUUUUACAUAGUAUAGUGUUUUCAAGGUCCAUCCAUGUGGUGCAUGUAUUAAAGCUUCAUGCACUUUUAUGGCUGAAUAAUGUUCCAUUGUAUGUACAAGGCGUGCCACAUUUUGUUAUUCAUUCACCUGUUAAUGGCAACUUGGCUUGUUUCCACUUUUGGGCCCUUGUGGAUAAUGCUGCAGUGAACAUCAGCAUGGAUGUCUCUGAGUCCUGCUUUCAGUUCUUCAGGGUAUAUGCCUAGCAGUGGAGUAGCUGAUUCUAUGUUAAUUCUAUGUUUAAUUUUUUGAGAAACUGCCAUAUUGUUCUCCAGGCUGGCUGCACCAUUCCACAUUCCCACUAACCGUGCACAAAGAUUCCAAUUUCUUACCAACACACUCUCAUCAAUACAUGUUAUUUUUAGUUUAUCGUGUUUUCAUUUUUCUUUUAUUAAUAUAUAGCAGGCAUUCUAAUGGGUGUGGGGUGGUAUCUCAUUUUGGUUUUGAUCUGCAUUUUCCUAGUGUUUAGCGAUGUUGAGUAUACUUUCCUGUGGUCAUUUGUAUAUUUUCUUUGGAUGUGUAUCUGUUCAAAUCCUUUACUCAUUUUUAAUUGAGUUGUCUUUUUGUUAUUGAGUUGUAGGAGUUCCUUAUAUAUUCUUGAUUUUAAAACUUUAUCAGAUAUAUGAUUUGCAGAUAUUUUCUCCCAUUGCAUCGGUUGUUUUUUCAGUUUCUUGAUAAUGUCCUUUCAUGCACAAAAGUGUUUAGUUUUGAUGAAUUCCAAUUUGUCUCUUUUUCUUUCUUUGCUCAUGUUUUUGGUGUCGUAUCUGAGAAUCCAUUACCAAAUCCAAGGUCGUGAAGAUUUACCUAUAUGUUUUCUUGUAAGAGUUCUGAUGUUUGUCAUUGAUCCAUGCUGAGUUAACAUUUAUACCGUAUAAUGUAGGGGCUACCUCUUCAUUCUUUUGCAUGUAGAAACUCCGUUAUCCUAAUUGUUGCUAAUUGCCUCUGGCCCACUGACUUGAGAAGCCCAAGAGGACCAGGGAGUAUUUGUAUUUUCAAGUUCUGUAGAAUUGGUGAUGUUCCCUGGUGGAGGAGUCCACUCUCCGCUCCUCCUCCCCCAUCAAGAACUAAGACGUCGAAUUUGCUAGAGCCCCACCCAAAGCUGUGGACACAGGAAGCACACAUUUCUCAAGGUGGUCUCUGCGAGUGAUGGUGAGAGCAGCCGAUCUCACUCCCCCCGCCACCCCCUGGGUUUCCAGCCCCAUGUCUUUCUGCUUUUGGGAUCAUAGCACCAUGUGUCUGCUCUUGGUAAGGCACGUACACCACAGUUUCAAGGAUAGUAUCCCAAUUAUACAGGGUGUGGGCUCACGCUUUCACCCUGGCAUAGCCUUGGCACAGGUCAUCCUGAUGUUCUUGUAGGCCUGCUGCUUCCAGAGGAACCUUGGAGCCAUAGCUUCUUUGCUGUAAAACAGACCCCUUGGCUUGAGGCAGUGUUGUUCAAAUCCCCUGCCAAUAAAUCAGAGACGACCGUAAGUGCUCUGUUGGUGAUGCCAGUGAAGGCACUGUUGCAAGGAAGGAAAAUCCAUAUCCAGAGUCGGUGUUCACUCUGCUAGGACUCAUCGCUGUCUCAUCAAUGACAGAAGGGGUCUCAUAUAAUGAACUUUGCACUGUGACUGCCUGAUCUCCUUGUGAAAUGGUGCCAUCUUGAGGGCUCAUUAUUAGUCCAUGUGGUUGGCAGGUAGGGCAUUCAGUAGCGGCAGCAGCCAGGUCAUCUCUAGCAAGAGGGAACUUGUGUUGGGCUCAUGCCUCCCUUGACUUUUGCCACCAUGGCCACACCAUUCAUGGAACUAUCUAUUUCCCCUGCCGUGGGGUGGCUGAUGCUGGCUGAUGCCCAGAGGAUGAACCAUCCUGUCCACCCAGUUGCUAGGUGCCUCCUCUGCAGGAGAGGCUUUUUGGCAGACCUUAACGUAAGUCCAAUGAUUGGCACGCUAGUGCCAUUUCCAUAGGUCAGUAGUACUGAUUUUUCCUUUUGUCUCAGACACCAAUAUGGCUCGGCACAGCAGUUACUGAUCCUGUCUCUAUUUGAAAUUUUAAUAUUUUGCUCAUCAUGGAU
rnacentral:lncRNA from 1 species